UAGGGAAUCUUCCGCAAUGGGCGAAAGCCUGACGGAGCAACGCCGCGUGAGUGAUGAAGGUCUUCGGAUCGUAAAACUCUGUUAUUAGGGAAGAACAAAUGUGUAAGUAACUAUGCACGUCUUGACGGUACCUAAUCAGAAAGCCACGGCUAACUACGUGCCAGCAGCCGCGGUAAUACGUAGGUGGCAAGCGUUAUCCGGAAUUAUUGGGCGUAAAGCGCGCGUAGGCGGUUUUUUAAGUCUGAUGUGAAAGCCCACGGCUCAACCGUGGAGGGUCAUUGGAAACUGGAAAACUUGAGUGCAGAAGAGGAAAGUGGAGUUCCAUGUGUAGCGGUGAAAUGCGCAGAGAUAUGGAGGAACACCAGUGGCGAAGGCGACUUUCUGGUCUGUAACUGACGCUGAUGUGCGAAGGCGUGGGGAUCAAACAGG
rnacentral:rRNA from 1 species